rnacentral:rRNA from 1 species
GACGAACGCUGGCGGCGUGCUUAACACAUGCAAGUCGAACGGAAAGGCCCUGCUUUUGUGGGGUGCUCGAGUGGCGAACGGGUGAGUAACACGUGAGUAACCUGCCCUUGACUUUGGGAUAACUUCAGGAAACUGGGGCUAAUACCGGAUAGGAGCUCCUGCUGCUUGGUGGGGGUUGGAAAGUUUCGGCGGGUGGGGAUGGACUCGCGGCUUAUCAGCUUGUUGGUGGGGUAGUGGCUUACCAAGGCUUUGACGGGUAGCCGGCCUGAGAGGGUGACCGGCCACAGUGGGACUGAGAUACGGCCCAGACUCCUACGGGAGGCAGCAGUGGGGAAUAUUGCACAAUGGGCGGAAGCCUGAUGCAGCAACGCCGCGUGCGGGAUGACGGCCUUCGGGUUGUAAACCGCUUUCGCCUGUGACGAAGCGUGAGUGACGGUAAUGGGUAAAGAAGCACCGGCUAACUACGUG